AGUGAACGCUGGCGGUAGGCCUAACACAUGCAAGUCGAACGGCAGCACAGUAAGAGCUUGCUCUUACGGGUGGCGAGUGGCGGACGGGUGAGGAAUACAUCGGAAUCUACUUUUUCGUGGGGGUUAAGGAAGGGAAACUUACGCUAAUACCGCAUACGACCUAGGGUGGAAAGAAGGGGACUUUCGGACCUUGCGGGAUUGAAUGGGCCGAUGUGGGAUUAGCUAGUUGGCGGGGUAAAGGCCCACCAAGGCGACGAUCGGUAGCUGGUCGGAGAGGAUGAUCAGCCACACUGGAACUGAGACACGGUCCAGACUCCUACGGGAGGCAGCAGUGGGGAAUAUUGGACAAUGGGCGCAAGCCUGAUCCAGCCAUACCGCGUGGGUGAAGAAGGCCUUCGGGUUGUAAAGCCCUUUUGUUGGGAAAGAAAAGCAGCAGGUUAAUACCCCGCUGUUCUGACGGUACCCAAAGAAUAAGCACCGGCUAACUUCGUG
rnacentral:rRNA from 1 species